rnacentral:misc_RNA from 1 species
GUAUAUUUCUAGUGCUUAGCACAACAUUAUUUCAUUACAUUUACGUGUGUAAAAAUCCUCUACCAGCCGAAGCUAGCAAAGGCCAAUGGUUCACAAAAGGGUGUUGGAUUUAUUGCCCCAACGUGCACAUGCAAAAGAGCCAGCACUGAAGGUAGACAAUUUAACAUCAAUAAUGAUCCUUCCGCAGGUUCACCUACGGAAA